GUGUGUGUAUACACCACAUUUUCUUUAUCCAUUCAUCCGUUGAUGGACAUUUGGGCUCUUUCCAUAAUUUGGCUAUUGUUGACAGCAGUGCUAUAAACAUUGGGGAUGCAAUUGCUAUCAAAAUAACCUCAGUAUUUUUCACAGGGCUAGAACAAAUAAUUCUAAAAUUUGUAUGGAGCCAGAAAAGACCCAAAUAGCCAAAGCAAUCCUGAAAAAGAAAACCAAAGCAGGAGGCAUCACAAUCCCAGAAUUCAAGCUAUACUACAAAGCUGUAAUCAUCAAGACAGUAUGGUACUGGCACAAAAACAGACAUUCACAUCAAUGGAACAGAAUAGAGAACCCAGAAAUGGACCCACAAAUGUAUGGCCAACUAAUCUUUGACAAAGCAGGAAAGAAUAUUCAAUGAAAAAAGACUGUCUUUUCAGCACAUAGUGCUGGGAAAACUGGACAGCGACAUGCAAAAGAAUGAAACUGGACCACUUUCUUACACCACACACAAAAAUAAACUCAAAUAGAUAAAAGACUUAAAUUUAAGACAGGAAACCAUCAAAGUCAUAUAGGAGAAAACAGGCAGCAACCUCUUUGACAUUGGCUGCAACAGCUUCUUACUAGACAUGUCUCUGGAGGCAAGGGAAACAGAGGCAAAAAUGAACUAUUGGGACCUCAUCAAGAUAAAAAGCUUCUGCCCAGCAAAGGAAACAACAAAACUAAAAGGCAACUGACAAAAUGGGAGAAGGUAUUUGCAAAUGACAUAUUGGAUAAAGGGUUAGUAUCCAAAAUCUAUAAUUCUGUUUUUUCUUUUUAGUGUGAUACAGCUAACAUUUCUUUAUAUAUUGCCUUGCAUAAAUAAUAUCCACCAACAUAGUAAAAAUGAUGGAAAAUAAAGUUUUACCAUCCACACAUUUUGCAGGUUGGGGAUAUUAAAAUUGCUGCCAGCAUGAACCUGACUCCUCAUUCUGUUUACCUGCAGGGACAAAGGUAAUAAGGAAUCUGGGAGUAUGGCAGAGGCUGAGGUCGAGACAGGCAAGCAUGUUCUUCUGUGUUUCUUAAGUUCAGCCUGGCCAUCAGGGAACCUUUGGUCCCCAAGUGACCUGGGUGAAUAGCAUCCAAGUGGUCAACUUUGAGCAUGAAAGUGUAAAGGAUUUUGCCUGUUCCCAACUGAGGGAGAGAAAGAUCAGAAGUACAUUUCACUUGCAUCUACUUGAAUAAAUGAAUUUGGCCAAAAAACAAAGCACAAAAAAGAACAAAGAUAUUAAAUAAUGUAGCCAACUGUGCCUGAUGAUCUGGACAGGGAGCAGAUGCCCUGGAAUGAGAGAGAAGUGACUGAUCUCCCAGUCAGUCUUGGUCCUUGUCUCUCAGAGUGCUGGAGCAAAUGUGUGCACCUCUUCCCAACUCUGUGUUCGGUGACGAUCACGUUGGUGGCCUGAAAUUGGCUGUGCAUCUGCACCAUGGAUAUAAGCAAGUGCUACAAAUGGGGAUGCUCUGUUGCAGACAGUUGGUUUACCUGCCUAACCUGCCUCCUGUAGUGGGGACACCUGGACACACUGAAGGUGCUUCUGGCAUCUAAAGAAUGCUGGAUAUAAAUCAAAGACUUGGAAUAAUCCAAGAAGCAUUUAUCCAAGACAAGUUGCUGAAUCAAGGGCCAUGUGAAGGCUUUCUCUGAAAAAGCUCGUCUAAUCCCACAGCUCCAGUUACCAAAUCUGUGCUGAUUUUUCUAGAACUUAGUCUCCAGCCUAAGUCUUUCUCUGAAGCUCCAGUGCCUUAUACCCAAUGGCCUCCUGAACAACUCCCCUAGGAUAUUCUGCAGGUUCUUUUGUGUUUGGCUAUUUUACUUAGCAUAAGGUCCUAUAUCCCUGCUGUAGGAGGUGUCAGAAUUUCCUUCCUUCUUAAGGCAGAAUAAUAUUCCAUGACUUCCUAGUGGGUGUGGAGUGGUAUCUCAUUGUGGUUUUGAUUUUCCUGAUGGCCAGUGAUGGUAGCCAUUGCGCCAUCAGCCGGGCUCCUGGAAGGGAAUCAAGUGGAGCAGACCAGAAUCUAAGACCAACGCAAGCCUGGCCAACCCACGUGCAGCACACAGACCAGUGAGAGAAAAAAAAGUAUCUGUCACUGUAAAUCACUGAUGGUUGAGGCUUGUUUGUUAUAGAACAUUUUUGCAGCAAAACCUGACCAAUAGAAUCAUUGAGAAACUAACUGUUCCUA